UGAUGAAGAAGCUUGCUUCUUCUGAUUUAGCGGCGGACGGGUGAGUAACACGUGGGCAACCUGCCCUGUAGAUUGGGAUAACUCCGGGAAACCGGGGCUAAUACCGAAUAAUCCAUUUCCUCACAUGGGGGAAUGUUAAAAGACGGUUUCGGCUGUCACUACAGGAUGGGCCCGCGGCGCAUUAGCUAGUUGGUGAGGUAACGGCUCACCAAGGCGACGAUGCGUAGCCGACCUGAGAGGGUGAUCGGCCACACUGGGACUGAGACACGGCCCAGACUCCUACGGGAGGCAGCAGUAGGGAAUCUUCCACAAUGGACGAAAGUCUGAUGGAGCAACGCCGCGUGAGUGAAGAAGGUUUUCGGAUCGUAAAACUCUGUUGUGAGGGAAGAACAAGUACGAGAGUAACUGCUCGUACCUUGACGGUACCUCAUUAGAAAGCCACGGCUAACUACGUGCCAGCAGCCGCGGUAAUACGUAGGUGGCAAGCGUUGUCCGGAAUUAUUGGGCGUAAAGCGCGCGCAGGCGGUCCUUUAAGUCUGAUGUGAAAGCCCACGGCUCAACCGUGGAGGGUCAUUGGAAACUGGGGGACUUGAGUGCAGAAGAGGAAAGCGGAAUUCCAAGUGUAGCGGUGAAAUGCGUAGAGAUUUGGAGGAACACCAGUGGCGAAGGCGGCUUUCUGGUCUGUAACUGACGCUGAGG
rnacentral:rRNA from 1 species